UCUUGGAGCGACCGGCGCUCGCUGACGCAAUGGGCGCGUCCGGGCGCCGCUGAGGGGACCCCGUUUGGUGGUCCAGCUGUCAUGAGAGUGCUGGUUGGUGUUCGGUGGUCCAUGCGGCGCGUGUUUCGGUGGGCGUGAGGCCGCCGAGGGAGCCGUGGGGUCGGUAGGUGUUGUACUCGAUCCGCCAUGCCUCGACAACGACUUGCGCUUCGAGCAGCGAACCGAAGUCCUCGAGGUUCAACAGUUCGUCGCGGACGCGGCCGUUGAAGCUCUCGACGUAGGGGUUCUCCCAUGGCGAGCCGGGUUCGAUGUAGCUGAUCCCGCCGCGCGACAUCCGGCACCAGUCGCGCAGCGCCCACGCGAUGAGCUCGGGCCCGUUGUCGCACCGCAACGAGCUCGGCGCGCCGUAGUCGUCGACGAGACGUUCGAGCUCGACGAUGAGGUCUUCGGCGGUGCAGCCUCGACCGACGCGCAUCGCCAGCGCUUCGCGCGUGUACUCGUCGACGAUGUUCGCGAGCUUCAGUCGCCGCUGGUCGGAGGUCUCGUCGAACUGGAAGUCGCUCGCCCACACGUGAUUCGGACGCAACGCCGUGAGCCGCUCGGUGCUGUGGGGACGCACCCGGCGCCGUUUGCAGGGCCGCGGCGGCGGCCGCUUCAGGCCUUCUUCUCGCCACAGCCGCUGGAUCCGCUUGCGGUUCACCGACCAGCCCUCCCGCCGCAUCACCCGCGCGGCCAUCUUGUAUCCCCACCGCGGAUGCUUCCGCGCGAUCACGCGUAACCGACCGCGCAACUUCGCGUCCUCGACCGGGCGCGGCGCACGUGGCUUGCGUUGCGUCGACCGAUGCUGACCCACGACACGACACGCGAGCCGUUCGGAGACCCCGAAGCGUUCGGUCAAGCGGCGCACCGCCCGCCGGCGUCGCUCCGGGGUU
rnacentral:misc_RNA from 1 species